rnacentral:rRNA from 1 species
UACGUAGGGUGCGAGCGUUAAUCGGAAUUACUGGGCGUAAAGCGUGCGCAGGCGGUUUUGUAAGCCAGAUGUGAAAUCCCCGGGCUUAACCUGGGAAUGGCAUUUGGGACUGCAAGGCUCGAGUGCGGCAGAGGAGACUGGAAUUCCUGGUGUAGCAGUGAAAUGCGUAGAUAUCAGGAAGAACACCGAUGGCGAAGGCAGGUCUCUGGGCCGAUACUGACGCUGAGGAGCGAAAGCGUGGGGAGCGAACAGG